GAACCAAUAAAAGCUUGCAUUAAAAGGUCUAUAAUAGGAUGACAGGUGGCUUCAUUUCAACCCUUGGAUUGAUGGCUUUGCAAAUCAUUUGCCUUUUUUGUAAGUUUCUCCUUUAACGUGCUGCACACAACCAAUAUAUUUUAACAUACCAUAUGAUUCUUCACUUGUACCAAACUCUUGUAGAGCCAUUGACUUUCUAUUAUGCAUGCAUCAUGCUCUCUAACCAAUCAAAUCAUGCCAUGUAAGCUAAUCUCUUUUUUCUUUAAUAUGCCUAAUGAUUGGACGGGUCA